rnacentral:rRNA from 1 species
AUACGGAGGAUCCAAGCGUUAUCCGGAUUCAUUGGGUUUAAAGGGUCCGUAGGCGGAUUUUUAAGUCAGUGGUGAAAGCCGACAGCUCAACUGUCGAACUGCCAUUGAUACUGGAAAUCUUGAGUACAAAUGAAGUAGGCGGAAUGAGUCAUGUAGCGGUGAAAUGCAUAGAUAUGACUCAGAACACCGAUUGCGAAGGCAGCUUACUAACAUGUAACUGACGCUGAGGGACGAAAGCGUGGGGAGCGAACAGGAUUAGAUACCCUGGUAGUCCACGCCGUAAACGAUCAUCACUCGCUGUUGGCGAUAUACUGUCAGCGGCCAAGCGAAAGUAUUAAGUGAUGCACCUGGGGAUACGCCGGCAACGGUGAACUCAAAGGAAUUGACGGGGGCCCGCACAAGCGGUGGAGCAUGUGGUUUAAUUCGAUGCAACGCGAAGAACCUUACCUACUCUUGACAUACUAGAAACUUUUCAGAGAUGAAUUGGUG